rnacentral:lncRNA from 1 species
GUUAAAUCAUGUGAAAGAUGCUGUCUGAUACACUGCUAUCAGGAUUGAUGUGGGACAUGGAAUAUUUAAGUUUGUUUUGAGAGAGAAAAAUCACAGUGCAGGUAGUUUAUUAGCUGUGAUAGUUCUUGAUAUGUUGAGAAACUUACUCUGUUACACCUGCCAAGAGAGACAGCCUCCUGGAAAAGUGAAGGCAGUUUAUCUCAAUGAAUACUUGGAUACAACAAAAAGGAUGUUUGCUGGCUAUGUACCUCCAGACAAAAUGAGUUAAGGCUAAACUGAGUGUGUGUCUACAGCCUGAUUACGCACUGCUGAUAAACUCCUAAUCAAAGAAGCACAACUCUUUUGAAGAUCAAAGGAACUCUUAUACACAUGGAUGUGUGCAAUGUAUCUGAUUACAGGCGGUGUUCUUGUAAUGUCUUUCAGCAACAAGUAAUGGUCCCAAGUUGUGCAGGAGAGGUUUAGACUGGAUAUUGGGAAGAAUUUGAAUUUUGGAUAUUAGCAUAUUAGGAAGAAUUUCUUCAUGGAGAUGGAGUCAAACAUUGGAAUGGCUGCUCAAGAAAAUGGAGGAAUCCCCAUCCUUGGAGGUACUGGAGACCAGUGGCUGUGACAGAGUUCAAGGAGUCCCCCGAAAAAGGAGUUGCGCACCAAGCUGCGUGCAGACAGUGUGGAGGAGUUUGAUUUAUACAGUGAAACUUCAGCUGUGUCUGCCAGGGGCUGGUACCAAAAUACCGUAACGUUUCUUGACAAGAAGAUGCGUGCUUGAGAAAUGCUGUCUGUGGCCUUAAGUUGGCCUCAGUGGGGCUGGAGUACAGUAAGAACUUGCUUUGUCACACCUCUGUGCAGGCCAGCCGUUAUAUUGCAGGCAAAAUUUUCUACGCCUUUCAACACCUGCAGGAAUCAUGGUGUGAAAAGCAUGCAGGAGGAUGCCAGUUUCCUCCAGAGAAGUGCUCAUGCUGUAUUUCUUCCCUUCUCUCCCUUCUCAUCCAUAUAAUCCAGCAGUGGGUUUCCCAGAGCACUUCUGUACAUUUAAUAAGAUGUGCUGUCCCUGUCGUUCUUCUGACAGAGAAAUUGGGUAGCACAUGAAAAUUUGAAGGGAAAGAAAAGAAUGGUUUCUAAGGUAGUAAGUUUAAAACAUGUGACUCAAUAGUGCAUCUUGAAAAAAGGAGGAGGACAGCAAGGUAUUGCUUAUUGCAAGCUGGGACUUCUCUAAGACUACUUUGAGAAGGAUUUGUAUUUCAGGCCCUGGGUCAAUAUUUAUGAAAAAUGCCUCAUGAAAAAUCAUCUUGUGAUUAUCAUCGUGUCCCAGUCUUGCUGUCUCCUCAGCACGUUGGACUGUGCCUUACUCUUUAUGAGAUCAAAUUAUGUCAUUCCAAUAAAGCAGAGUAAUAAAUGGGGCUUGUAAGCCA